rnacentral:tRNA from 1 species
GCCAGGAUAGCUCAGGUGGUAGAGCAGAGGAUUGAAAAUCCUCGUGUCGGCAGUUCAAGUCUGCCUCCCGGCA